rnacentral:sRNA from 1 species
GCCGCUCGUCUUUCCUGGACGUUUCCUCCCUGACCUUGGGCCGCGCGGGCAACCGUGCGGCCUUUUUUUUGGGUGCG